UGUGUGUGUGUGUGUCAGUGUGUCUGUGAGUGUGUGAGUAUGUGUCAGUGUGAGUGUGUGUCUGUGAGUGUGUGUCUGUGAGUGUGUGAGUAUGUGUCAGUGUGAGUGUGUGUCUGAGUGUGUGAGUAUGUGUCAGUGUGAGUGUGUGUGUGUCUGUGAGUGUGUGAGUAUGUGUCAGUGUGAGUGUGUGUCUGUGAGUGUGUGAGUAUGUGUCUGUGAGUGUGUGUGUCAGUGUGUGAGUAUGUG